GACCUAGUGGUGUAGUGGUAGCAUGUCCGCAUCAAGUGGAAGUGGAGCAUAGGACUUGAGCAGAGGGGUCCCUGUUCGACUCAGGGCUGGGUCA